rnacentral:rRNA from 1 species
UACGGGGGGGGCAAGCGUUGUUCGGAAUUACUGGGCGUAAAGGGCUUGUAGGUGGCCAACUAAGUCAGACGUGAAAUCCCUCGGCUUAACCUGGGAACUGCGUCUGAUACUGGAAGGCUUGAGUAUGGGAGAGGGAUGUAGAAUUCCAGGUGUAGCGGUGAAAUGCGUAGAGAUCAGGCGGAACACCCGUAGCGAAGGCGGCCAGCUGGGCCGUCCCUGACACUGAGGCGCGAAGGCGUGGGGAGCGAACGGG